rnacentral:ribozyme from 13 species
AGAGAGAAAGAGAGAGGGGGGCAGAAAGGAUUGAGUGAAAUGAAAGGGUUUGGAUUUUCACCAAUUCGAUUUAAUGAGGGUCCUUCUUCUUCUUCUCUUGCUUCUUUUUCUCUUAUUUGUCUCUCUUGUUCUUCUCUCAAUUUCUG